GAUGAAGAACGUAGCGAAAUGCGAUACUUGGUGUGAAUUGCAGAAUCCCGUGAACCAUCGAGUCUUUGAACGCAAGUUGCGCCCGAAGCCAUCAGGUUGAGGGCACGUCUGCCUGGGCGUCACAUAUCGUUGCCCAAUGCCUAUUGCAGUGCAAUAGGAAUUUCUAGGGCGAAUGAUGGCUUCCCGUGAGCGUUGUUGCCUCGCGGUUGGUUGAAAAUCGAGUCCUUGGUAGGGUGUGCCAUGGUAGAUGGUGGUCGAGUUAGAACGAUACCGAUCAUGUGCAUGCUCCCCAAAAUAUGGCCUCUAUGACCCACACACGUCUUUUGACGCUCAUGACGAGACCUCAGGUCAGGCGGGGCUACCCGCUGAAUUUACGCAUAUCAAUAAGCGGAGGA
rnacentral:misc_RNA from 1 species